GCUGCUCCUAGUACGAGAGGACCGGAGUGGACGCAUCACUGGUGUUCGGGUUGUCAUGCCAAUGGCACUGCCCGGUAGCUAAAUGCGGAAGAGAUAAGUGCUGAAAGCAUCUAAGCACGAAACUUGCCCCGAGAUGAGUUCUCCCUGAGACUAUAAGUCUCCUGAAGGAACGUUAAAGACGAUGACGUUGAUAGGCCGGGUGUGUAAGCGCAGCGAUGCGUUGAGCUAACCGGUACUAAUGAACCGUGAGGCUUAACCUUAC
rnacentral:rRNA from 1 species